GAUGAACGCUGGCGGCGUGCCUAAUACAUGCAAGUCGAGCGAACAGACGAGGAGCUUGCUCCUCUGACGUUAGCGGCGGACGGGUGAGUAACACGUGGAUAACCUACCUAUAAGACUGGGAUAACUUCGGGAAACCGGAGCUAAUACCGGAUAAUAUAUUGAACCGCAUGGUUCAAUAGUGAAAGACGGUUUUGCUGUCACUUAUAGAUGGAUCCGCGCCGCAUUAGCUAGUUGGUAAGGUAACGGCUUACCAAGGCAACGAUGCGUAGCCGACCUGAGAGGGUGAUCGGCCACACUGGAACUGAGACACGGUCCACACUCCUACGGGAGGCAGCAGUAGGGAAUCUUCCGCAAUGGGCGAAAGCCUUACGGAGCAACGCCGCGUGAGUGAUGAACGUCUUCGGAUCGUAAAACUCUGUUAUUAGGGAAGAACAAAUGUGUAAGUAACUAUGCACGUCUUGACGGUACCUAAUUAGAAAGCCACGGCUAACUACGUG
rnacentral:rRNA from 1 species